rnacentral:rRNA from 1 species
GGAUGCGAUCAUACCAGCACUAAAGCAUCAGAUCCCAUCAGAACUCCAAAGUUAAGCGUGCUUGGGCGAGAGUAGUACUAGGAUGGGUGACCUCCUGGGAAGUCCUCAUGUUGCAUUCC